GCUCAACCGAGGAAGUGCUUCGAAAACUGGUAAACUUGAGUGCAGAAGAGGAAAGUGGAACUCCAUGUGUAGCGGUGGAAUGCGUAGAUAUAUGGAAGAACACCAGUGGCGAAGGCGGCUUUCUGGUCUGUAACUGACGCUGGGAUUCGAAAGCAUGGGUAGCAAACAGGAUUAGAUACCCUGGUAGUCCAUGCCGUAAACGAUGAGUGCUAAGUGUUGGAGGGUUUCCGCCCUUCAGUGCUGCAGCUAACGCAUUAAGCACUCCGCCUGGGGAGUACGAUCGCAAGAUUGAAACUCAAAGGAAUUGACGGGGGCCCGCACAAGCGGUGGAGCAUGUGGUUUAAUUCGAAGCAACGCGAAGAACCUUACCAGGUCUUGACAUACCAUGAAAAGCUUAGAGAUAAGUCUUUCCCUUCGGGGACAUGGAUACAGGUGGUGCAUGGUUGUCGUCAGCUCGUGUCGUGAGAUGUUGGGUUAAGUCCCGCAACGAGCGCAACCCUUAUUAUCAGUUGCCAGCAUUCAGUUGGGCACUCUGGUGAGACUGCCGGUGAUAAACCGGAGGAAGGUGGGGACGACGUCAAAUCAUCAUGCCCCUUAUGACCUGGGCUACACACGUGCUACAAUGGUCGGUACAACG
rnacentral:rRNA from 1 species